rnacentral:rRNA from 1 species
UACAUGGGGUGCAAACGUUGCUCGGAAUUAUUGGGCGUAAAGAGCUCGUAGGCGGUUUGUCGCGUCUGCUGUGAAAACUCGGGGCUUAACCCUGGGCCUGCAGUGGGUACGGGCAGACUAGAGUGCGGUAGGGGAGACUGGAAUUCCUGGUGUAGCGGUGAAAUGCGCAGAUAUCAGGAGGAACACCGGUGGCGAAGGCGGGUCUCUGGGCCGUAACUGACGCUGAGGAGCGAAAGCGUGGGGAGCGAACAGG